rnacentral:rRNA from 1 species
ACGGGUGAGUAAUGCCUAGGAAAUUGCCCUGAUGUGGGGGAUAACCAUUGGAAACGAUGGCUAAUACCGCAUGAUGCCUACGGGCCAAAGAGGGGGACCUUCGGGCCUCUCGCGUCAGGAUAUGCCUAGGUGGGAUUAGCUAGUUGGUGAGGUAAGGGCUCACCAAGGCGACGAUCCCUAGCUGGUCUGAGAGGAUGAUCAGCCACACUGGAACUGAGACACGGUCCAGACUCCUACGGGAGGCAGCAGUGGGGAAUAUUGCACAAUGGGCGCAAGCCUGAUGCAGCCAUGCCGCGUGUGUGAAGAAGGCCUUCGGGUUGUAAAGCACUUUCAGUCGUGAGGAAGGUAGUGUAGUUAAUAGCUGCAUUAUUUGACGUUAGCGACAGAAGAAGCACCGGCUAACUCCGUGCCAGCAGCCGCGGUAAUACGGAGGGUGCGAGCGUUAAUCGGAAUUACUGGGCGUAAAGCGCAUGCAGGUGGUUUGUUAAGUCAGAUGUGAAAGCCCGGGGCUCAACCUCGGAAUUGCAUUUGAAACUGGCAGACUAGAGUACUGUAGAGGGGGGUAGAAUUUCAGGUGUAGCGGUGAAAUGCGUAGAGAUCUGAAGGAAUACCGGUGGCGAAGGCGGCCCCCUGGACAGAUACUGACACUCAGAUGCGAAAGCGUGGGGAGCAAACAGGAUUAGAUACCCUGGUAGUCCACGCCGUAAACGAUGUCUACUUGGAGGUUGUGGCCUUGAGCCGUGGCUUUCGGAGCUAACGCGUUAAGUAGACCGCCUGGGGAGUACGGUCGCAAGAUUAAAACUCAAAUGAAUUGACGGGGGCCCGCACAAGCGGUGGAGCAUGUGGUUUAAUUCGAUGCAACGCGAAGAACCUUACCUACUCUUGACAUCCAGAGAACUUUCCAGAGAUGGAUUGGUGCCUUCGGGAACUCUGAGACAGGUGCUGCAUGGCUGUCGUCAGCUCGUGUUGUGAAAUGUUGGGUUAAGUCCCGCAACGAGCGCAACCCUUAUCCUUGUUUGCCAGCGAGUAAUGUCGGGAACUCCAGGGAGACUGCCGGUGAUAAACCGGAGGAAGGUGGGGACGACGUCAAGUCAUCAUGGCCCUUACGAGUAGGGCUACACACGUGCUACAAUGGCGCAUACAGAGGGCAGCCAACUUGCGAAAGUGAGCGAAUCCCAAAAAGUGCGUCGUAGUCCGGAUUGGAGUCUGCAACUCGACUCCAUGAAGUCGGAAUCGCUAGUAAUCGUGGAUCAGAAUGCCACGGUGAAUACGUUCCCGGGCCUUGUACACACCGCCCGUCACACCAUGGGAGUGGGCUGCAAAAGAAGUAGGUAGUUUAACCUUCGGGGGGACGCUUACCACUUUGUGGUUCAUGACUGGGGUGAAGUCGUAACAAGGUAGCGCUAGGGGAACCUGGCGCUGGAUCACC